UACAGAGGUGGCAAGCGUUGUUCGGAUUUACUGGGCGUAAAGGGUCCGUAGGCGGUUUGGAAAGUCGAAUGUGAAAUCCCACAGCUUAACUGUGGAACUGCAUUCGAAACUACCAGACUUGAGUAUGAGAGGGGUGAAGGGAAUUCCCGGUGUAAGGGUGAAAUCUGCAGAGAUCGGGAGGAACACCAGUCGCGAAGGCGCUUCACUGGCUCAUUACUGACGCUCAGGGACGAAAGCUAGGGGAGCAAACGGG
rnacentral:rRNA from 1 species